ACAGAGGAGGCAAGCGUUGUUCGGAAUCACUGGGCUUAAAGCGCGUGUAGGCGGCUUAGAAAGUUUCGUGUGCCCUCCCUCGGAUCCCCCGCGGAACUGCACGGCAAACUACUUGGCUUGAGGUCGGUAGAGGUGCCUGGAACUCUAGGUGGAGCGGUGAAAUGCGUAGAUAUCUAGAGGAACGCCAGAAGCGAAAGCGGGGCACUGGGCCGAUUCUGACGCUGAGACGCGAAAGCGUGGGGAGCAAACAG
rnacentral:rRNA from 1 species